UUGACAUACACCGGUAACGCCCAGAGAUGGUGCCCCUUUGUGGUCGGUGUACAGGUGGUGCAUGGUUGUCGUCAGCUCGUGUCGUGAGAUGUUGGGUUAAGUCCCGCAACGAGCGCAACCCUCGUCCUAUGUUGCCAGCGGGUCAUGCCGGGGACUCAUGGGAGACUGCCGGGGUCAACUCGGAGGAAGUGGGAUGACGUCAAAUCAUCAUGCCCCUUAUGUCUUGGGCUUCACGCAUGCUACAAUGGCCGGUACAAAGGGCUGCGAUACCGCGAGGUGGAGCGAAUCCCAGAAAGCCGGUCUCAGUUCGGAUUGGGGUCUGCAAUUCGCCUGCAUGAAGUCGGAAUCGCUAGUAAUCGCAGGUCAGCAUACUGCGGUGAAUACGUUCCCGGCCUU
rnacentral:rRNA from 1 species